CCUACGGGUGGCAGCAGUCGAGAAUCAUUCACAAUGGGGGAAACCCUGAUGGUGCGACGCCGCGUGGGGGAAUGAAGGUCUUCGGAUUGUAAACCCCUGUCAUGUGGGAGCAAGUUAAAAAGAUAGUACCACAAGAGGAAGAGACGGCUAACUCUGUGCCAGCAGCCGCGGUAAUACAGAGGUCUCAAGCGUUGUUCGGAAUCACUGGCCGUAAGGCGUGCGUAGGCUGUUUCGUAAGUCGUGUGUGAAAGGCGCGGGCUCAACCCGCGGACUGCACAUGAUACUGCGAGACUAGAGUAAUGGAGGGGGAAGCGGAAUUCUCGGUGUAGCAGUGAAAUGCGUAGAUAUCGAGAGGAACACUCGUGGCGAAGGCGGGUUCCUGGACAUUAACUGACGCUGAGGCACGAAGGCCAGGGGAGCGAAAGGGAUUAGAUACCCCUGUAGUC
rnacentral:rRNA from 1 species